UUUACAUCCUACUGGUGUUUAACCUGGAGUCUUUUGCUAUUUUACGAAGAGUAUUGAAACAUGUCUCUCUGGAGUCAAAUAUUUCAUUUCAGACACCUCCCUUUAUGAUGUCAAUCUAAGGGCUGAGCUAAGGGAAAUAAAUGUGAUUAUUGUUAUGAGGGCAUACAGUGAGAUGGCAGCAGCCUGUAAGCCAGAAACAGAAGCAUCACCAGAAACUGACCAUGCUGGUACCCUAAUC